rnacentral:lncRNA from 11 species
GGGCAGAGGAAAACCAAGUACUGUAGAUAUUGCAACAUCAGCUGGAAAUCUUGGUUCACACUGCAAGUCAGCACAGAGAGGGAAGCUGAAUGCUCGGAGCUUAACGGGCAAAGAUCAAGCCAGAGCCUGCUCAGUGGACCAGCGGGAACACGUGAUGACAACACCACAAUCUUGUUCCAUCUGUUGAUGUGCUCCUGGCCCCCUUGGGCACGUCUCCAUCUAGUUUUGCAUGCAGCCAGAUCAAUUUACUCCUUCCUACAGAACACACAGGCUGGGAUCGGCCUAAAUAAUUAUUGUGGAAAUCCCCCUUCCAUUUGAACCUUUGAUAAAUAAAAUCAAGGAGCUUCUAAACACCAGGAAAUUUAUAGUCCCUUUGGUUGAUUGAAGAACAGUGCAAACAGCAUGAAACAGCAAAAUAGCUCCCAUGGUGGCUAGCAAACUAGAGGUAGUAGUAACU